rnacentral:rRNA from 2 species
UGGGGAAUAUUGGACAAUGGGCGCAAGCCUGAUCCAGCCAUGCCGCGUGAGUGAUGAAGGCCUUAGGGUUGUAAAGCUCUUUUGUCCGGGACGAUAAUGACGGUACCGGAAGAAUAAGCCCCGGCUAACUUCGUGCCAGCAGCCGCGGUAAUACGAAGGGGGCUAGCGUUGCUCGGAAUCACUGGGCGUAAAGGGCGCGUAGGCGGCCGUUUAAGUCGGGGGUGAAAGCCUGUGGCUCAACCACAGAAUUGCCUUCGAUACUGGACGGCUUGAGUAUGGUAGAGGUUGGUGGAACUGCGAGUGUAGAGGUGAAAUUCGUAGAUAUUCGCAAGAACACCGGUGGCGAAGGCGGCCAACUGGACCAUUACUGACGCUGAGGCGCGAAAGCGUGGGGAGCAAACAGG